AUUUGUAGUUUUUUUGGAUAAUUCCCAGAUUCUACUACCACAGCCGCCUCUCCAUUGCCGGAAACUGCCGUACGUGCCUUGUCGAGGUCGAGAAGUCUCCCAAGCCCGUCGCUUCUUGCACCAUGCCCACUCUUCCAGUUGGUGUCUUCAGAAAGAAAGAUACCAAACUAUAUGAAACAAGCUUGAAGGAUGAGAAGCGUUUACAUCAAUGGCUUCAUUGUUAAAUUAAGCAAGUGUUUUAGUAAAUAAAUUUAAUUUUCCCAUCAUGUUUACACCUUCAAAAUAUUCUGUAAAUGACAUUUGAUGUAGAAUUUUUUGUACAGAGGACAUCUUUUUUGUAUGAUUUUGUGUUUGUAUGGAAUUAUUAUUUUGGGUU